GGGUUCGUAACUCAGCUUGGAUAGAGUGCCAGCCUUCUAAGCUGGAAGUCGGGGGUUCAAAUCCCCCCGAACCCG
rnacentral:tRNA from 1 species